GUUGACGCAAUGUGAUUUCUGCCCAGUGCUCUGAAUGUCAACGUGAAGAGAUUCAUCAAAGCGCGGGUAAACGGCGGGAGUAACUAUGACUCUCUUGUUGUUCAAUGAGAUUGUUCAAUAAAGUAAUGUCUCGACGGCUCCUCGCCGCGGUAGACCUUGAUCACCGGCAGAGGGCUUUCAUUCCUGUCGACGGCUGUGCGGAAAAUGUAGCCAUUCUGGCUACCGCAUUAGAUGAGGCUAAGACCUCGAGGAAACCCCUGUUCCUUGCCAGUGUGGACCUCACCAAGGCGUUCGAUCGGGUUUCCACGGAGGCCAUCCUACGGGGGGCAGCCCGUGCCGGUCUCUCGGCACCGUUUCUGGAGUACCUGCAGAGUCUGUAUGGAACCUCGGAGACGGUGCUCGGGUAUGGAGGGAAAACGCUCUUGGUGAGGCCCACUACUGGGGUGAGACAGGGAGAUCCUCUUUCACCUGUACUGUUUAACCUCGUGCUGGACGAGUGGCUCAGCGACCUCGACCCCGAGAUAGGGUUCACUAGUGGGGAGUUUAAAGUCGACGCCAUGGCUUUUGCCGACGACCUGGUCGUAAUGGCGUCGACUCCGCGGGGACUCCAGGAAAGGCUUGAUGACCUCGCGGCCUUCUUGGGCCCACGAGGUUUGGAGAUUAACGCUGCCAAAUCUUUCACACUUGCCCUCCAGCCGUCUGGGAAAGAAAAGAAAGUUAAGGUUGUCACAACCACCAUCUUCCAUGUCAACAACGAGCAGCUUCCGCCAA
rnacentral:ncRNA from 1 species